rnacentral:lncRNA from 1 species
CACGUUUUCAUGUCUGCAACCUAUAGCUCUAUUACCAUCUAUAAAGGAGGAUGUUUUUCCUCUUCUGUGGCUCUGGUUUUAAUAUUCCUACCUUAAAUUUAUGGUCACCGAACGUUUUAUACUCCAGUAUUUCCCCAUGUAGGGGAUUUUAAAAUAGUGGAUUCCAAUGUUGGGCUGAAACACCAGGUGGAGAGCAGCCUCUUUGAGAAGGGCACGUUUGGAGGGUUGUGUGCUCACUAUACCAUCUCCUCUGCCUUGCUCCAUCGUGGUGCCAGGGUCUGGGCACUGGAUGGGGGCACGCAGAGCUACCCCAAGGGCUUGGACUAAGAAAGGAACCACCAGGAAGACACCACAGCAGAGGAGAAAGCCCCCAGAGUCUGACUCCAUGGAAGAACAUACUAAAGACAAUGUCCUGGAUGAACCAUUUCUGAUGAAGCACCACUGUUUGAAGAACCCCUCUGACCUGUGCUGUGUGAACAUAAGCAACCAAAAUCUGGUCUCUGCUAAAGAAGAUGAUUUUGAGAAAUUUGAUUGUGUUGCUUUUAUAAAUGCUGCUGAGAACCUGCUGACACUAGGUAAGGGGUUGCAUUACCAAAAAAAAAAUAAAUAGAGGCUGCUUUUCCACCCAGGGAAGCUUCCACUUGUCUGAACAAAGGUCUAGAGCU